CGCCACUUCCGCAAAGCUCUCUCAGGCUGCACCAUGAAAUUUGCCACUUUAUUGUUUUUAUUUUGCACGUUCACAUCAACGAACACAAUAAACAUCGAGGACAAUGCCGGACACUUCUUCAGCAGCGGACACACAAAUAACUGGGCAGUUCUGGUUUGCACAUCGAGAUUCUGGUUCAACUACCGACAUGUGGCCAACACUCUGUCCGUCUACCGGAGCGUCAAACGCCUGGGCAUCCCUGAUAGCCACAUCGUGCUGAUGCUGGCUGAUGACAUGGCUUGUAACCAUAGAAACCCAAAACCUGCCACCGUGUUCAGCCACAAGAACAUGGAGCUGAAUGUGUACGGCGACGAUGUGGAGGUGGAUUACCGAGGAUACGAGGUGACGGUGGAGAACUUCCUGCGUGUGUUGACAGGACGCUUGCCCCCCAGCACGCCUCGAUCCAAACGUCUGCUGUCUGAUGACCGAAGCAACAUCCUCAUCUACCUGACAGGCCACGGGGGCAACGGAUUCCUGAAGUUCCAGGACUCAGAGGAGAUCAGCAAUGUGGAACUGGCCGGUGCUUUUGAGCAGAUGUGGCAGAAAAGAAGGUACAACGAGCUGCUUUUCAUCAUCGACACCUGCCAAGGCGCCUCCAUGUAUGAGAGGUUCUACUCCCCAAACCUCAUGGCCUUAGCUAGCAGCCAAGUGGGAGAGGACUCGCUGUCGCAUCAGCCAGAUUUAGCCAUUGGCGUUCAUCUUAUGGAUCGUUACACCUUCUACCUCCUGGAGUUCCUGGAGGACGUCCAUCCUUCUAGUAAGACCAACAUGAACGACCUGUUCAAAGUUUGUCCGAAGAGCCAGUGUGUUUCGACCCCAGGCCACCGCACCGACCUCUUCCUGCGAGACCCAGGCAGCGUCCUCAUCACAGACUUCUUCGGAAGCGUCCGUAAGGUCGAGAUCACCACGGAAGCUGUCAACUUGACCGAAGCCUUGGAGCCAGUGGCGAACAGCGACAAUAAUGAAGACGUGCAGCAGGAGACUCACUCGUACGUGGAUCAGCUGCCGGUUCUGGAGAUCAUCCAUCAGAGCCAGCGCGGGUCUCUGAGGGCCACGGCGUUACCAGCAACAAAGGAAUUACCAUUCAUCAGGUGACGCGAGCCCGGCGCCCCGCCACUUCUCUGCCAGGACAGGAAUGAUUCCUCCACUGGGCGGUAGAAAUGCCUGAAGCUGUCGUGUUUGGUGGAAGAUUGUCGAGCUCGCAGUGAGGCUUCACAAUGGGUUCAGGAAGAGUGGGGACAAACAACACAUAGAGAGGAAAACUGCGCACGGCAUACCAGCACUGCAGACAGGAGUUAGCGUGCCGUCGCGUGGUUCUGAUUUCACGCGUCACUGCUGCAGCAAACGUCAAGAUGAUGUAAGUCAGUUUUUGAUUUGUACACUUAAGUGUUUAGCUUAGUACACACAAACAUCAGAAUGUUCAUUUUGUGCGCUUGUGGGACUCGAUUACUCAAAGAAAAUAAAGAAAAAUGUAACCUCAGGUGACCAAGGACAGUAUCAAAGAAUCCAACACGAAGAUUGACAAAGUUUAGCCUCAAACUGUAGCGUACUAACAAGCAUCAAUGUAGCACUAAACGUCACAACAAAAGUAGUGGCUAGUGCAUUUGUUGGAUUCGGUUAUGAUCUGCUAUUUUCGAGCCACUGAAGUGGACCAGUGCGAACCAUGACAGGCGUGUAAGAGUGGAGCCCCAGAGCAGCCCAGCAGGAUGAAGGCACUGAUGUUAGGAGCUCUUCUUCAUCUAGGUUUGUUUUGGAGUGGGAGUUCUCUGCUUUGUGCUCUUCUGCCCUUCUCCUGGGAGGCCAUUUCUGCUUCUAAGUUUUCAGCUCUGCGCGUUUAUCUUCAGGUUUGCGUUGCGUUUGACAUUGACUGUUGGCUCUCUGGUGUGGCUUCACCCCGCUCAGCGCGGGUUCUGUUGUUUAUGUUGCUCUGGAGUGUAAUCGUGCAGCUGUAGCUUUAACGCCGUGACACAAUAGAUGGCUGAAGCUCCUAUGACAAAAGAUUAUGUGUCUGGAGCGCUGGAUGCUGCGCCCACAUUAACAGUGAGAUUGUGUGUAAUCUGCUUAUGAAAACUCCAGUCCACACAAAAGCAACUUCCUGCGAGCAAUAAUCCACACCAGCAUGGAUAAUCACGCACAGGGAGGGCAACACAAAGAUUCAAAGACAAGAUCGUCUGCUGGCGGACUGAGCGGGAGGCCUCUGUCUAACAACAGAGCGAGUCUUUUCAUUCAAGUCUCGAGUCGAGUGAAAAGUCAGAAGCAUCAAGAUUCUGGGGAAUUGUCCCUGCAGCGAGGGCUUUGCUAAAAGGAGGCAGUUUAGUUUGGAAGCAAACAACAAUGGAGAGAGAAAUGUCGGUUUCAGGUCAAAUGACUGCAGAUGGAAUGUAAGACUUGGCCCGUGUCCACUAUUCAUUUGCUCCUUUGAACGAUGCUCUGACUGGCUAAGCACAAGGCUCUUCCCAAACAUAAGAUCUGCUUAUCGUACUUACGAAUCCAUACAGACGAACAGUGAUGAGGUACCACAGGCAUGUUCUACAACAACUAGAUGCUAUAGUCCUAACUUGGUUGUAUAGCGAGACAUGACUAGUCAACGUGAAUCUGAACUCUUAAGACCCAUUACCACUGUCUGCUAAAGUUGUCGAACAAGUUAACUGAUCGCGACAACUAGAGACUCAACGGUUUGACGUGAUGGUAAAGGCUGCAUGCUAUGAUGACCCACACUGCAGCGAGUCCCUAGACGAUUUGACUGGAAACUAGAUGUCACAGACUUAAGACUUAGACGGGAGAGUAAACGCUACGAGACUACACAAAAAAUAUUUCACACUAUGCAAUUGUUUAGAGCGCUGAACAUAAUUUCUAGUGUUCAUAUAUAUAUUGUGUGUUGCUGUGUGUGUUGUUGUGAACAUAGUCAGUGACUAGUCAACUAUCAAAAUAAUCGUUUCAGCCUUACUACACUCCAAGAUGAGAAACUAGAAAAUACUACAACGCUACAACGAGAGCAAUAAACGUCACGGCACGAGACUUGCAGACAGACUAGACGCUACUACAGAAAAUCCGACUUGACACAAACACUCACUGAAGAUUGACCUGAAAAAAAGAAAAACAAGCGCAAGGAUAGUAACACCACAACAUCAGCGGCCAAACACUUGAAAUAAAUGACUUGGCAAGGAAUGAGUCGACAUCACUGGAGUGCUAAAGUAGCUAAAGCUAUAUAGCAGAAGUUGUUCUUCAUUUUUCUUGGGCGCUUGUCGAAGAUUGUGAACAAGACUGUGACAUGAAUCUUGUGUAAAAAUGUGCAGCCUAAUCGAUCGGACACUUUUCUCCUGAAGAGCAUAUGACUGUGAUAAAUCCAGCUCUAGAUCUCCUCAGCCGAACUCUCGAGAGCUCUAAAAGCAAACAUAACCUGAUUUGAAUGUCUGUGUCAUCUCCAGGGAAUGAGCUCCGAAGUGAGCCCAAGGUUCAACAGGCUCUUUGUGCGAAACAAACGGUCUAACAUGGAAAACAUUUCUUUUUAAUAGUAAACUUUUACUGCGAGUCCCUCGACGGAGCCAAAGUGCUGAGUCACCGCCACAGAGGACAGUCGUGCUGUCAGAGCCAUGUAAACAGAGAGCGUUAUAUACGAGCUAAUACAUGGAGGAUAUAAUCACACAGAUGAAUACUGUUCAGUUGAAGGCACGUUGUGGCACUGAGAAAUACCAGUUAUUAUUACCUCCAUGCAUAUUACAUGACUCUGGGGUGAGAGUUAAAGGACUGAGGAGGGGAAUCGCCGCUUAAGUAAUUCUGGUUAGUGGUGGAAUUGCUAAUGCCGUGUGAGUGUGGGAGUCUUCCAACUGUGUGGGAAUGUUGGCUCGGAUUGCUCGCUGCAUGUCACUCACCGUCUCUGCUCCAGUUCAUCCUGCAGUGGUGCUGAACUUUGACCUCCCUGUGGUCAGUCUGGUGUGAGAGCUGUAGCUUGACGUGACACCAAGACAGUCAGCACAGUCUUGGAUUUUGAAGCUCAUUUUUGUCGUGAAAUAUGCAUUUAUAUUUCUAUCUGUCAGCUGGGCGUCCAAGCAACUGGGAGGAGGCCUCGGUGCCCCACGCUGCAGAAUCUCUUGAAAGAGGCACACGUCUUUAUUGUGAGCCCACUGCUACUAGUUUUUAAACUCGUAGUUGGCCCUGUGAUGGUGAACUUUCACCUCUACCCACAUGUUGACGGUUGUCAACAAUCCUUGUAGCUAGUGUUGUUAACACCAAGGCCACUCGGCAGAAACAUCGGUGGCUGUUUACGAUGCCCACGAGGAGCGAACAACCCGCCUCCUACUUAUCACCCGUCGCAGGCCGUUACAUGGCUGUCCGUCUCCGGUCCACGCAGGGCCGUAGAUCUCUUUUUAUGUGCGGUGUAAUUCGGCGCCCACCUGUGAUUUACGAGAGCGAGCUGCUCCCCGGGGUGUCGCGGCGCUCAGACCUUGACAAGAGAAUCCCACUGACUUUUUGUCCUUUCCAUAAUUAGAGAGUACAUCCUCUCCAGCCUGUUCAUUACCCCCCAAGCCAGUGACGUGUGACGGGGGGUGGGGGGCUGUUUUAGUGCAGCCGCCGUCCCUCACGGGUGAACGAGGACGGGAAGUGUUUGUUCAGUUUGACUGCACAACAUUCUGCUUUACUGAGUGUGUUGGACACAGUCUCUGCCAGGAACGAAGCUGUUCUUGAGCGAGGUACGAACAUUACAUUCAUGCUUAAUGUGUGUUAGCGCCAAGGCACAAAGGUCGAGACUUGUACGCAUCAACACGAGUCCUCUCACAACUUCAAACUGGGAAACUAAAAUGAAGUCUCAAUGCUUGCACACACGACAAUAGCGCUGCAUAAACCACAGAAGAUGCUCACACACAUUCACAUUGCUGUUCAAAACAUCCACACACAUUGACACGCGAAAAGUCACACAUCAAAACAGGCUGAUGCACAUUGUGUCCCAUUUCUCACCCUAACACUUGUUUUUGACCCUAACACUGGGUUUUGCACGUUCACGUGUCAGUGUAGUGUGUCCCAACACUCCUAAGACUGAGGGCAUUCGCCGUUCACCACUUGAAAUGAUCCCUUCAAACCGAGGGAGCUCCAGAGCUGACUUGAAACCAAGUGGGAAUAUGAAGUGUGGAGAGAUUUCCAGGCUCGACUGUGUCCGAUAACAUGAACAAUACAACACAUAUGUACAGCAGUAUGUUUUUAUUUCUUCUGAACAAACAACAGUGGGCUAGCAUCCAGGCUAACGUUAGCAUCCUCAUACCUCUAACAGAUCUAUUACCGCAACGUAGCGGCAAAGUCGGCUUCUGCUCCGCCGAUGCAAGAGGUUGCAGAAACGCUGGAGCUGGCAUUUCUAAAACGUCUCCAACACUGGAUAUGCAGGAAACAAAGCCAAUGACACGUUGUCUUUACGCGUGACGUAAUGAAGUGUUGUCCCAAUUCUGAGGGACGUCAAUCACGUCACUUGGUCGUCGGAGGGCACUUCAUAGUGGAGGGUGCUCAAAACCAAGUGCUUGUGUUAGUGGGAGAAAUGGGACACAGCCUAAGACUCACCGAUGAAGGAUAUUGUUUAAAAAAAAAAAACGCUGGUAAUGUAUGACCUGCACCUAAAAUAAAAUGCAUCCUGAUUUGUGCAACUCGAUAUCUUGGGGACCCUUGGACUAAUGGUGAUGCCACCUGACCUAAAUCGAACAGGUGAAAGCUCAGUGCUGACUUGUGUUUCACUUCUUCAUCUGUGCUCAGAUGGAUCCAUAAAUCAUCUUCAAGUACAU